UGGACCUGUUCCUGGUGGUUCAGCAUUUAUCUUCUCAUUCUCAACCAACUGUCUUGGGUUCACAAAGGUCCACACACACCAGUUCUAUCCUGUGGCUUUUCAAGCCAGAGUGGAAGGAUAUGAGGGGAAGAGACAUAAGCAGUCUGGAAAUAUCAUGAACUGAUGCUGUGAGAAAUCCAUUUGGGAAAGACUGUGCUCUGGGGAGCUGUUGUGCCCCCUGAGGUCUGGCUCGCGGUACUACUGUCACCUCCAGUUUAAUGUGUGUUUUUAUACACAGCAUAGUCUUUCCAGUCUCUGACAUGCUAUCAGUUCCUUCUGGAACAAUUUGUACAAGAUGAUGUAUUUGCCCCACAAUGCAGCAGAAGUCAGAGAACAACUUUUGGAAGUCGAUUCUUUCUUUUCACUGUGGAAUCUGGGAAUUGAAUUCAGGAUUUCAGUCAGGUAUGGCAAGAUUAUCCCCUGCAUAACUCAUAUGAACAUACAGCUGACUACUGAGGUUUCUCCUUGCUUUAUAACACGUUCCUGAGUAAUGCAUCAAAGACAGAGACUUCAAGCAAUGAAAAAUGCACUCGUGUCCAUCCUGUUCAAGACCAUUAGAUAUUACUUCUCUACACUCUCUAUGGGAAACUUCAUCAAGUGGACCCUACUCCUGCCCAGGAUCCUGUGCCAAGUGAAGUUCAGCAGGCACAGGAAUGCCUCCAAGGCACCUUCUAAAUCUGUCAAGGCCAAUUUAGAAGCUGAA